AGAUGGUGUUUCGCUCUGUCCCUCAGGCUGGAGUGCAGUGGCGCCAUCUCGGCUCACUGCAACCUCUGCCUCCCAGGUUCAAGUGAUUCUCCUGCCUUGGCCUCCUGAGUAGCUGGGAAUAUAGGCAUGCACCACCACAUCCAGCUAAUUUUGUAUUUCUAUUAGAGAAAGGGUUUCGCUAUGUUGGCCAGGCUGGUCUCAAACUCCUGACCUCAGUUGAUUCGCCUGCCUUGGCCUCCCAAAUUGCUGGGAUUACAAGUGUGAACCACUGUACCCGGCCAAGAUCCAUGAAUUCUUCUGCACAUCAGACACUACUUAUACUUUUUACUUGGAUCAUCUGAUGUCUUGACUUCCAGAAAUGCAUUUCCCAUUGUUUAUGAUAAUAGGAGUUCUUUUCCUCUUUAAACUCUGAUCCUUUGCUCUGGAGAAGCCAGGCACCAUGGCAUGAGGCAGCCCUGUGGAGAGGUUCAUGUGGUACAGGACCAGGCCUGCAGCAUCACUUGAUACAAAGAAGUAAGUUACUGUUGGAUUAAGAAUAUCCAAGACAAUGGUCACAACUUGAAAGCACAUGGAAAAACAUGAAUUAUUUUUAUAAUGUCAGCUAAUCCACAGCUGUGCCACCUGUUAGUAUGGAUGCUAUCCAAAAGGAUUUUUGAAACCUUGUUAUCCAAAUGCAGAAGUGGCAGCUGAAGAGAUGAUUUGUGACAGUAUUUGCUGAGACGAAGUCUGUCCACUAGAUGGAUAAAACCAGUUCCCUUUUCAUAGGCUCUUUUAAUGCAAGAGAAAGAAAACCAGCUACAACCAGCUAAAAUCAAAUGGGGAGUUUCAUGGUGCACAUCCACAAAGUGGACAUGUCAGGACAGGGGAACAUCUGGAUCACAAGAAUGCCGGUUCCCAAAGACAAUAAGGAUGGUUUCCAGCCUCUACUAUUUCUGCACUGUGAAGCCAUCAUCUCCAUUUCAGACUUUCCCACUAAGCAGGAAAUACAAUUGCCAACAGCAGCUAGCUUCAUACCUCAAAGCAACACCAGAAAGAAGAAGCAUUUCCAUCGAGGGAAGGAUUGAUUGUAAGGAGUAUUUCCCCCAAAAGGAAGAGAAGAACAAAGAAGCAUAAAGAUUGAUUACUGAACCAGGAGCUGAACAUUCAUAUUUAAUGUACGCGCCUGGAAAUUCGAACGUCCCCCACCCUCCAGGAUCUUGAGAAAUCCUACUGGGAAAAAUAUUAAGAAAUAUGGUAAAAUAAAGAUUAGUGUUUUUA